GAGUCAUAGACCUGUCACCUCUGGCAUCUACAGACAAUACCCCGAGGUACAAAGGUUACAAGGCCACCCAGCCUCCCGACGCAUACCUGUAUGACUGGAACCCAUGUCAACCCUUUACUGACGGGGACUGUGUGUCUGUGGCCGGCUGUCAGUCGGACCCAAAUGGCGGUGACAACUACGGCCUAGGCAGUCAGGAUAGCGCCACCUUCGGGACGGCGGAUGACGGGACGGUGUUGGUAACAUAUUCAAGUGGAGUGAGGACAUUACUUGUGACGUUGACAUGCACGUCAUCACCAACAACCUUCACCGUGAUCGGGGAAGAUCAAUCGAUAGGAAGCACUUAUG